rnacentral:lncRNA from 1 species
AUGAGGGGGCAUAAACGAAGUGGAUAUCGUGCCCAGUGUGGCAGGAUGCGUGUUGAUAACUUGUCAACAUGAUCAUCUUCAAACGGCUGGGUUGACUCGUAAACAUUUUUUGUCCAUUUUCUUGAUCAAUGAUUAUUUCAGAAUUAUGACGCAUGAUGUGAAGGAAACCAUUUUACUAUUCUUAGAGUUGGUUUUUAAAUAAUUAGAUAAUAAUUAGAUAAUUAUGGAGUGGUGGUUUAUUUGUGACAUUGUUAAAAAUGAGUAUUUUGUGAUAAUGUUGACUUGCU